UACAGAGGGGGCGAGCGUUGUUCGGAAUUACUGGGCGUAAAGGGCGCGUAGGCGGCCUUCUAAGUCGAACGUGAAAUCCCCGGGCUCAACCCGGGAACUGCGUCCGAUACUGGGAGGCUUGAAUCCGGGAGAGGGAUGUGGAAUUCCAGGUGUAGCGGUGAAAUGCGUAGAUAUCUGGAGGAACACCAGUAGCGAAGGCGGCUCGCUGGGCCGUUCCUGACGCUGAGACGCGAAAGCUAGGGGAGCGAACAGG
rnacentral:rRNA from 1 species